CUCUCAAGGCUUUGAUUCUGCUCGGAAAAAGGAGACUCCCUAACUCUAAUCAACUUUCAGGAAAUCAAGAGAGUUUGAUUAUAAGAACAAGCACAUGAGAGGCAGGCUGAAUAACUCAAUAAUUCCUUACUCAAAUGUUUUAUUUGCUUUCUUCAUACCUUUUACCUCCAAUCAAACAGGUUCUUUUUUUUUUUCCAGUGGACCACAGAGUAUUUCAGCAAAUUAAGGGCUUCAAGUACACGGGCUUGAUGGUUCAGUCUUCAGCAAAACAAGAUGAAAGUAAGAGACAGGUGAACUUCAUUGACAAAGUGUUAAAUUUUUGUGAUCAAGUGUUGUUUAUAUUGGGAUUGUGGACCAGUAUACUGUUUUUUCCAAUGGUUGGCUUCUGCUCUAAAAAGGAGUUUCCCUAACUCUAGGAAAGACUAUGCGCCACUUAGGGCUGCCCGACAUUUAGGCAUUCUGCGUCUAUUUGGUGUAGAAAAUCAAGCUAUUUUCACCAAAACCUUGAGAAUGCAAUGGAAAAAAAUUGUUGAAAAAUUAAGCACAAAAAUAGGAAGUACAUAUGUUUUGGUAUGUCUUGUAACAUACAUUAAUUUGUUUUCCAUUGGUAUCAAUAAUGCAGUAUCAAAGCUCAGUAAAUUUGUAUCCAGACAAAACCAUUAGAUACUGUAGAUGUUAGAUAGUAAA